AACUGUGAGAAAUCUGCCUUAAGU
rnacentral:piRNA from 1 species